CUGGAGACCGAGUGUGUAGAGGCAGUUAACCUCUGGAAUUCUCGCUAUACCGUUCGCUCGGUUAUAGCACCUAUUAUGUUAGAAAUUGGAGAGCUAGCUCCUAGUUUUAUGUUUUUUAUUCAACAUGUAAUAAGGACAGCAAAUGGUCCAACACAUCUCUGUGCUAAGUGUGGGUUGACGCUUACAGUGACUGAAAGUUGGUUAGACUCUACUCCAAGCUUCCUAAUCAGUAGCCUGUUGGCGAACUGUUCGGCGAAUGCUUUUGUUGAAAAAAGCUCUCACAAGUUUCCCUGCAAAAAAAAGAAUACAUAUCGCUGGCAGGCCUGA
rnacentral:rRNA from 1 species